UACGGGGGGGGCAAGCGUUGUUCGGAAUUACUGGGCGUAAAGGGCUCGUAGGUGGCCAACUAAGUCACACGUGAAAUCCCUCGGCUUAACCGGGGAACUGCGUGUGAUACUGGAUGGCUUGAGUUUGGGAGAGGGAUGCGGAAUUCCAGGUGUAGCGGUGAAAUGCGUAGAUAUCUGGAGGAACACCGGUGGCGAAGGCGGCAUCCUGGACCAAUACUGACGCUGAGGAGCGAAAGCGUGGGGAGCAAACAGG
rnacentral:rRNA from 1 species